AUAUCUAAGUCUGAAAAUGAUACACACUAAAACUAUAUAUAAGCAAAUAAAACCAAGAAUCGGAGAAAGAUUCAUGAUAAACACUAGGGUUGAGAUGCCUUUUAUCCGGAUUGGGGUUUCCAAAAGUGUGAAAAGACAACAUUGGGCUUUACUGUAUACCGUCACUCGCAGGAGCGACAUUAGGUUCACAGCAGCGGAGUCGUUUUGGUGCCAUUUUCUUCGUAGGCAUGAAAGGCCUUUGACUCUUGACUCUCGCAGGCGCGGCAAAUGAUCUGCAGAAGUGGAGUCGCAGAUGCGACUUUUUGUUCGCCGGUGCAGCUUCUGUGGAACAAUGCUCUUUCACUGGUGCACUUGUUCUUUCGCCGGUGCGGGCUCACAGACGAGAGCCUCCUCUCGCAUGUGCGAGCAACAUUCGGAGGCCAUACUAAGGGAAAAGCUCUAGAAUUAUGAUGCGGAGCAUGCGCGGUCUGCUAUGAGGUCUGAGCGCCGGUUACCAGCAUUGAUAUUGAGCCUAUAGUUGUUGGAUUUGGAGGCGAGGGUGAGCAUAUGGAGUUCUGGACUUUACCUGUCUCCAUCUGUAUUUUGUCUGCUAGUCUUUUGUUUUUUGAGACAAGCCUUUGUAGUUUAGAUUCACUUUUGGGACUUGUACUCUUUUAUUUAGCAGCUCUAUUCUUAUGACUUCCAGGUUCUAGGAGGGAUAUUAUUAUAUAUAUUUUAGUUUUCUUCUGCUUUA